GAUGAACGCUGGCGGCAGGCCUAACACAUGCAAGUCGAACGAAGUCUUCGGACUUAGUGGCGGACGGGUGAGUAACACGUGGGAACGUGCCUUUAGGUUCGGAAUAACUCAGGGAAACUUGUGCUAAUACCGAAUGUGCCCUUCGGGGGAAAGAUUUAUCGCCUUUAGAGCGGCCCGCGUCUGAUUAGCUAGUUGGUGAGGUAAUGGCUCACCAAGGCUACGAUCAGUAGCUGGUCUGAGAGGAUGACCAGCCACAUUGGGACUGAGACACGGCCCAAACUCCUACGGGAGGCAGCAGUGGGGAAUCUUGCGCAAUGGGCGAAAGCCUGACGCAGCCAUGCCGCGUGGAUGAUGAAGGUCUUAGGAUUGUAAAAUCCUUUCACCGGUGAAGAUAAUGACUGUAGUCGGAGAAGAAGCCCCGGCUAACUUCGUGCCAGCCGCCGCCGUAAUAC
rnacentral:rRNA from 1 species